UUCUUGGUCAUUUAGAGGAAGUAAAAGUCGUAACAAGGUUUCCGUAGGUGAACCUGCGGAAGGAUCAUUAAAGAAAUUUAAUAAUUUUGAAAAUGGAUUUUUUUGUUUUGGCAAGAGCAUGAGAGCUUUUACUGGGCAAGAAGACAAGAGAUGGAGAGUCCAGCCAGGCCUGCGCUUAAGUGCGCGGUCGUGCUAGGCUUGUAAGUUUCUUUCUUGCUAUUCCAAACGGUGAGAGAUUUCUGUGCUUUUGUUAUAGGACAAUUAAAACCGUUUCAAUACAACACACUGUGGAGUUUUCAUAUCUUUGCAACUUUUUCUUUGGGCAUUCGAGCAAUCGGGGCCCAGAGGUAACAAACACAAACAAUUUUAUCUAUUCAUUAAAUUUUUGUCAAAAACAAGAAUUUUCGUAACUGGAAAUUUUAAAAUAUUAAAAACUUUCAACAACGGAUCUCUUGGUUCUCGCAUCGAUGAAGAACGCAGCGAAAUGCGAUACGUAAUGUGAAUUGCAGAAUUCCGUGAAUCAUCGAAUCUUUGAACGCACAUUGCGCCCCUUGGUAUUCCAGGGGCAUGCCUGUUUGAGCGUCAUUUCCUUCUCAAACAUUCUGUUUGGUAGUGAGUGAUACUCUUUGGAGUUAACUUGAAAUUGCUGGCCCUUUCAUUGGAUGUUUUUUUUCCAAAGAGAGGUUUCUCUGCGUGCUUGAGGUAUAAUGCAAGUACGGUCGUUUUAGGUUUUACCAACUGCGGCUAAUCUUUUUUUAUACUGAGCGUAUUGGAACGUUAUCGAUAAGAAGAGAGCGUCUAGGCGAACAAUGUUCUUAAAGUUUGACCUCAAAUCAGGUAGGAGUACCCGCUGAACUUAAGCAUAUCAAUAAGCGGAGGAA
rnacentral:rRNA from 1 species